rnacentral:rRNA from 1 species
UACGUAGGUGGCAAGCGUUGUCCGGAUUUACUGGGCGUAAAGCGCGCGUAGGCGGCUUUUUAAGUCUAUGGUGAAAUCUCCUGGCUUAACCAGGAUGGGUCUGUAGAUACUGGAAGGCUUGAGUGUCGCAGAGGAAAGUGGAAUUCCCGGUGGAGUGGUGAAAUGCGUAGAUAUCGGGAGGAACACCAGAGGCGUAAGCGGCUUCUAGGCGAUUACUGACGCUGAGGCGCGGAAA